GACGAACGCUGGCGGCGCGCCUAACACAUGCAAGUCGAACGAGCGAGAGAGAGCUUGCUUUCUCGAGCGAGUGGCGAACGGGUGAGUAACGCGUGGGUAACCUGCCUCAUACAGGGGGAUAACGGUUAGAAAUGACUGCUAAUACCGCAUAAGCGCACAGUGUUGCAUGGCACAGUGUGAAAAAUUCCGGUGGCAUGAGAUGGACCCGCGUCUGAUUAGCUAGUUGGUAAGGUAACGGCUUACCAAGGCAACGAUCAGUAGCCGACCUGAGAGGGUGACCGGCCACAUUGGGACUGAGACACGGCCCAA
rnacentral:rRNA from 1 species